rnacentral:rRNA from 1 species
UACGUAGGGGGCAAGCGUUGUCCGGAUUUAUUGGGCGUAAAGAGCGUGUAGGCGGCCAAGCAGGUCAGCUGUGAAAACUCGAGGCUCAACCUCGAGACGUCGGUUGAAACCGCUUGGCUAGAGUCCGGAAGAGGAGAGUGGAAUUCCCGGUGUAGCGGUGAAAUGCGCAGAUAUCGGGAAGAACACCCGUGGCGAAGGCGGCUCUCUGGGACGGUACUGACGCUGAGGCGCGAAAGCGUGGGGAGCAAACAGG